UUGUGUCCUAAAAUUGUUUGGGACAUUUCAUUGAGUCCAGUACUCUUUAAAAUGUAAGGGUGACAAUUUUCGUAUUUUUUUUCAGUUUUUCGGGCCGAACGGUCCCGUGUGGGACCCGCUACCUGAAUUGUUGCUCGCGGGAAAUUUUGUUGGGUCCAAUUGCAUUAUGUUUAUUUUAUUUAAUGUGAUUUAGAGGAUUGUGAAUUAAAUGUGUAAUUAUAUAUGCAUGUGUUGUAAAUUAAAAAGAAAAGAAAAAGAAAAAUUAAAAAGAAAAAGGUGGGACCCACCACUAUUGCACAAAAAGGGGUUAGAGAUCAUUUUGAUCUGAUUUCCCAAUUCUCUCUCUCUCACUCCCGCAGGUCCUCUCUCUCCCUUCCUUGGCUUCACUUUUUCUUUUUCUUUUUGCUUCUAAACUUCAAGUUUAGAUCUCUCUUUCAAUACUUGAUCAUUUUGGGUGUUGUUUGCGGCAAAUCGAAGCCCACGACGAGAUCUUUCAUUUGAUCAGACCAAUUUGGUGUUUGGUACACUAUAGGAAUUUCGAAAUUCUAGGGCACAAUUGGGGAUUUUGCACAAUCUUGAGGACCGAGAAAUGGAAUAGGAGACGCAAACCCUUCAGAAGCAUGACAAAGACUUGGAAUAUACUUUUGUUUCCUUUUGUGUAUCCACUAACCUUUUGUAAAGUCUCAGAACUGUAAUAAAGUACAUUCAUUUUGCAAACCUUGACUAUGUAUUGUAAUUAUAAUUCUCAAUGAAAUUUUGAUGUAACUUGAGACUAUGUAACAUUUCCUAAUAAAUGGGUUAAGAAAUUAUAUUUUGAUCAA